ACUUGGUCCCUUCCCUACGAGGCCUCCUGCCGCAAAAAACCGAGGUUCAAAUGCUUGAGAAACGGACUCACGAGAUACCAGGGGGGUUGAAUUUAGCAGAAAUAAGGAGCCCUGGUUCAUCUGAAAACUAGCAGGAAGGGGACAGUGCUCUGGGGCCGCCCCCAUCCAUCCCUCUUGCUUCUUUCCUAGUCCCGCGUCUUCACCUCGGACCCCGGGGCACCGGCACUUUGGGCCGUCGGGGCAGUGGAGAACCGAAUACCGUGACGGGUCCCUUCCCGUCCCUAACCACUUCUCUCACUCACCGAAGUAGUCCUCCCUGGCCUCUGGCUCCCGCAUCCGGGCCCGGGCGGCCUCCGGAACGAAAGGACCUGGUGGCUCCUCCAGACCCGACGGCUCAAUCCCCGAGGGUUCUCCGCGGGCUCCGGCUUCUCGCCCACCGGUGCCCACCGUCAGGCGAAGCAAAGCUGUUAGCUCGUCCUGGUACCGGGCGCCCACGGCGCAGUCCCCGUAGCCGGUCACAGAGUGUCGUCCGGGUUGCGCCCCCCGUCUCUCCAAGGGCCCCGCCGCUCCCACUCCGGCCCCGGCUAGAGCUCCAGGGCUGCCCAGGGCCGGGGGAUACGAGUGGCGGCUUUCCUGGCAGCCGAACCCCGCGGGCCGCUGAGCGUACAAUCGGUCCAGGGCGGCGUGGAGCUCCGGGUAGGCGGACGGGACCCCUCCGGGAGAAUAGCCUGCCGGUGCUCCGGCCAGGGGUGGGCCAAACAGGCACGGCCCCGCUGGCAAGGGGCUCCCGUGGCGCUGGUCGUAGCCCAUGCUGAUGCCGCUGGUGCGAUUGCUGCAGGGCCGGCUACCUCCAGCUCCGCCAGCCCCCGCCCCGUCCAGCAGCAGGCUGCCCCGGGGGCUGGACGGCUUGCUCGCGUCGCUGGCCGAGCUACUGGCGAAGCUAGAGCGGGGGCUGAGGGCCGGGGCCGUGGGCUCCAGCCGAAAAUCGGGGGGCAACGACUGAGGUAGAGGCAAGGCCCGGGUGGGCGGCGGCCCCGCGGGAAAAGAGCCUUCGUAGCGCGGCGCCUCAAAGGAGCCGCGCUGAUUUCGCUCAGCGUCCAGGGAACCUUGCUCCCGGGCCGGCUCCAACGGCUCAUCCCCAGGUCCCCCAGUAGCUCCUCGGGGCCCUGACUUCCUAGGUCCCCCCAACCCACUUAGGCGCCCCUUGCCCGGCCCGGGGGUCCCGUCAGACCCAGACCGGCUAGAUUCACCCUUUCUGCGGCCGAACUUCUCCAGCAGGCGACUGGCUUUCUCUCCUAACCGCUCCAUGCCCUCGGGCCUGGGGCCUCUCGCCCCCUCCCCGCCUGGCACCCUGCGGCGUCUCGGCGGCCGGUUCUCUUUCCCUGCAGCCGGACUCUGGUUCCCCAGGGGCACAGGGGAGGCACAGGGGCUUAGCGGGCGGCCUGGAUGCCCUGCGCCAGGAAUCCCACAGCAUCCCCCAGCGGGAGGGGCUGCGUCCCCCCGCGCAUCUGGGGCUGAGCGGGGCUAGCAGGGUCUCUGGCCGCGGCUGUCCAGUCCGCAGGUCUAUCUGUUCACGCGUCGACUCGCCCGACUGCCCCACUCUCCCCGGCCCCCGCCCCCCUAGCUCUCACGCUAGCCACAGACCGAACUUCUCUCCCAAACUUUUGUCUGCCUGGCCGGAUCUACUUUCCUAGGGGGGCGGAGCGCGGUGUGUGCGAGAGCGCCGGGGGUGUCCGCGCAGGGAUAGCUGGUGUGCGUGCAGCGGAAGGCGCUAACUGCCCUGGAUGUGGAGACCCGCGGACUGGACGUGAGAGGCGGGCAGGGGCAGUUGGGGCAGCUGCCCCUACAACACUGAAGAAUUGGAAUAGGAAAGAGUGUGGGGGUAGGGGACGGGGACUCUUUGUCUGCAGUUGGAAUGCGCGGAGGGGCAUGGUGGAAUGUGUCGCGUCCCGGGACCGGACGACAGGAGGCAUGUUCUGCGCUAGCACCGUGACUUUGUUCCCAGCGUGGGGACUGUGGGAGAGAUGGAGAGAGACUGGUACAGAAAUGGUGAGACAAGGAGAGAGCCAUAAAGAGGAAGACAGAGAGAAAGAAGACAAAUGCAUAAAGAGGUUCAGAGACGUGUACGUAAAGAUAGCCCUGAAAGGCGACGAAGCCCACAGAGAGAGGUGGAAGAGGGAAGAGGUAGCGAAAGAAAGGGAGAGCUGAGGAGCAAAGAGGAGUGUGGACGAUGCAGAGACCGAAGGGUGCGCAGACAAAGGAAAGGACAAGCUUGUCCAGAGAGAAUGAGAGACAAACAGAUAAACUGCAAUAAAAAGGCACCACCUUCUGGACCCAAAAGUUUUGUGAUUUGUAAAAGCAGUGAAAAGGAGUCAGGAAAAUGGGACUAAUCUCUACUUUGAGAGGGAGGGAAAGAGAUAUAGUGUGUAUGUAGAAGCAGUGAAAAGGAGUGAGGAAAAGGUUUGGGACUAAUCUCUACCUUAAGGGUAGGACAGUUAGAGGGAUAGACACCCCCUGGUGUUGGGAAAUGAGAUUUUUCUCAUUUCAGGUGACUGUGGAGAUCGAAGGCCUGGUUUUAGGGCUAGCGAACACCUUCUCCCUUUGGUUUUGGUCCACAGAAGACUGGUGAUACAGAGUAAGUAUUAAGAGGAAGAAAAGAAAUGCCGUGUAGAGGAAAUUGCAAAUGAAAAUGAUCAGGAUGGAAAAGAGGCUGAUAUUGACUAUUUUAAAAGGAUCAAGAAUAAGGAAAAGAAACCCUGGCUGAAGCAGCCGGGCGCGGUGGCUCACGCCUGUAAUCCCACCACUUUGGGAGGCUGAGGCGGGCGGAUCACUUGAAGUCAAGAGUUCAGACCAGCCUGGCCAACAUGGUGAAGCCCUAUCUCUACUAAAAAUACAAAAAUUAGCCAGGCGUGGUGGCGCACGCCUAUAGUCCCAGCCACUCGAGAGGCUGAGGCGGGAGAAUCGCUUGAACCCGGGAGACAGAGGUUGCAGUGAGCCAAUAUCACGGCCACUGCACUCCAGCCUGGGCGACAGAGCAAGACUCCGUCUCAAAAAAAUUCUCAAAAAUAAAUAAUAAUUUUUUUUAAAGAAACCCUAGAUGAAGCUAAACAUACCUAAUUAAAUACCAGCCAACGGCCGGGAGCGGUGGCUCACGCCUGUAAUCCCAGCACUUUGGAAGGCAGAGGCGGCGGGAUCACGAGGUCAGGAGUUUGCAACCAGCCUGGCCAGUAUGGUGAAACCCCGUCUCUACUAAGAAUACAAAAAUUAGCCGGUGUGGUGGCGUGCACCUGUAGUCCCAGCUACUUGGGAGGCUGAGGCAGAAGAAUCGCGUGAACCCAGGAGGCGGAGGUUGCAGAGAGCCGAGAUUGUGCCAUUGCACUCAGGCCUGGGCGAUAGAGGGAGAUUCCGUCUCAAAAAAAUUUUUUAAAAACCAGCCAACUACUUUUGCCCAGACUAAAACAUCAGGGGCAAGGGGUGGAGGAAGUAGAAUGGAGAAGGAAAAUGACUCCUUUGUAUUUAGAUAGUAAAUGAGUAUGAAAAUUAUAUGCAAACAAGUCAUGCAUAUUAUUUUCAUCUCAACAUUUUGAACACCUUUUAUAAUCUUAGUGUAGCCUUAGGGAAUGUGGAAAGAAACGAGGUUAAUAUCUUUUGGGAAAUUAAUUUGUGCCAAACUAUUUGGCUUCUUCGUCCUAGUUGCAUUGUCUCCCUGACCUCAUCUCCCCUGAGAAUCAGCCUCUGUUUCCCUGGUCAAGGCCACGGCUUUUCUCUGAUCCUGAGGAGAGUUUCCUACCAGAGUGGAAGCAGGGAGGACUGAAAGCACUAGGAACAGAGGGGAGCUAUCGGAUUGCAUCUAGAACCUGCUGUGAGCAACAUCUUCAGAAUUAACCAUAAUGUGUUCCCUCCUUUCCUGUGUCCAGAUGAGGAAGGAGAACUUUGAUUCUUCCUUCCAAUUACAUCCAAAAUAUCCACACAACUACUAAUAUUUGGAAGCUUUGAUCCUUUGGGGUGAGGAUGCGAGAGGAAAUCUUAUGAAAUGUUGGGAGGCCAUUAAAGGAGGCCCAUGCAAGAGUUGGUGGUAGCAAUGGGCACAACUGGGAUGAACAGCCUGUGUUUUCAAGGGAUAACUGGAAGCAGAGAUGAGUGAAGGGGAAGAAGUAGAAGACGCAUAUGCUAAUAGGGCAUGCUCCAAUAGUGCUCAUGACCUCAGGUGGCCUCUCCACAGUCUAAACUGGAGCUGGGAUCUCCAAAGGCCCUCUUCGUUCCCAAGACUUUAAUUAUAAUCUGUAUAUGCAGGUGACUCCCUAAUCCAUAUUUCCAGCCCAGUCUUUCUUGGAAUUAAAAACUCAACUAACUACUAGCAUCUCCAAUGGCUGUCUCAGAAGCACCCAAUAUCCUAAACUGAUCUCAUCUUCUCUGCCUCAUGAAACUGGCUCCUCUAACAUUCUCUGAGUAAAUGGCACAAUCCUGUUAGCUGCUUAAACUAGAAAUCUGAGCGUCAACCCUAUGUCCUCCUUCUCCCUUAACCUCAAAUCCAACCAAGUCCUAUCAAUCACCAAGUUCUAUUAAUUCUGCUUCCUAAACAUCUUCCAAAUCUGUCCUCCCCUCAUCACCACUAUAUAUGUCAAGUCACCGUCUUUCCUCUCCGAAACCAAUGCAAAAGUCUCCUGGCCAAGGCUUGCUCCCUGCAAUCCAUCUUAUACCCUGAGGUCAAGUGAUUUUUUUCAGUACAGAAGCUUUACGACUUACAAUGGAGUUAUGUCUGAAUAAACCCAUCCAUUAUAAAUUGAAAAUAUCGUAAGGCAGAAGUGCUUCUUCAACUUCACCAUAUUUUCAGCUUAAAAUGGGUUUAUCUGAUAUAACUGCAUCAUAAGGUGAGGAGCAUACUGAAUCAUUUCGCACCAUCGUAAAGUUGAAAAAUCCUAAGUCGAACCAUCGUUGAGUUGGGGACUGCCUGUAGGCAAAACCUGUCGUUUUAUUUCCCUGCUAAAACAAACUUUCAAUGAUUUCUCACUGCCCUUGGGUUGAAGUCUGUACUCUGUAUUAUGAGGUCUGUCUCACUCUCCAGCCUCUCCUCUAGCAUUAUCCCUUCCCCAAAAGUCUGCAGUAGAACUGGACCUUGUCUGUACUCUCUCUUGCCCCUGGACUUUUGUACCUGCAGUUCCCUGUUUGGAACACUCUCUUAGCCUCCCCUUUCCUUCUGGUUAACUCUUCCCCAGUUUAGACAUUACACCCUCUCAGAAGAAGCCUUUCCAGACUGCAAGAGUAGGUUAGCUACCCCUGCUGUAUAUUGCCAUAGUGCACUACACUCCACCAUGGUCACCCUUAUCACAGUUCAUUUCAUUGCCUACUCCACUGCCUGGCUUCCUGACUAAACUAAAAAAAUCUCUGAACAGCAUCCAACCUUAUCAACAAUGUAUCCAUAGCACAGUACCUGACACCUAGUAAAGCGAUCAAUGUUUGUUAUAAGACUGAAUAAAUGUAAAGCCAUUUUUGCUUUUCAAUCCAUCCAAAAUGCACACCCCUUCCUCAAAAUACAGCUUGGCUGACAGGACCAAGAAACAGCUACAAAGCUGUGUAUUUUGCUUGGUCACAUAGUGAGAGAGAGGCUGCCGGUGAGACACGGGAACUCUUUAAGCCUUAAUUUCCUCAUCUGUAAGAUAGGAAUAGUAAAAUUUUCCUCAUGUAAUUCAAUAAACAAUAGCUAUUAUAUCAGGAACCCAAUUCCCCAAUAGUGAUAGAACUUGUGUUCCCUUGGUCAGAAGACUCAAGCUCAUGACUGAAACUGCCCACCAGGUGGCGGUAUUAACCUGCACUGGUCAUGUUCGGUUUCCACUGCAGAGCAAGACAAGUAGUCACAGGGAAGCAAAAGGUACAACCUGGGCUGCUUCCUCAGAGCUUUGGGUGGAACUGGGCAGGGGCAGAAACAACUCAGAGACAGGGCAUAUGUCAAGAAGGCCUCAUGUUUCUUGGACCCAUCCUCCUCAUUUUCUCAUCCCAGGCUUCUCCGAGAUACUGUUUAUGCUGAGGAAUAAGCAUAUUCUGGCUUACUGUUCACAGUGGAGGGAGUUUCUCCCCUUCUAGAUAAGUUUUUAUCCCACCAGUGUUCUGCUUCCCCAGUAGAGACUGUGUUAAGAAAAGAGGCAAAUUUGCUUUCUCAGACUGCACAGAGCAUCUCAUUAUUUUGUGAAGCCCCAUGGCCACCUAUUUCUGAGACAUGGGGCAUGGCGGAAGCCAGAGUUAUUCUUGGCUGUAGAUUUUAUUCAUCCUUUUCCACCUUGAUUUCAAUGAAUGAGUUCAAGUCAGGACAGCAGGUUUUGUGGGGUUGGUCAAAAGAUGGGGAGCCAGGUGCAUUCUCAUCCCCUCCCUCAUCUUCCUCUUCUUGGAAAUUAGGAUUGUAAAGUUCUGGUGGAAGGAGCUGGGCUUCAGCAGAAGGCAGUCUGUCUGAGGGAGGCCCAUACACACGGUUGGCUUUGGUGCCAUGCUUAGAGUUAGCAUCCAGGUGGUAGCAGAGCUCUGUGAGGCGCUGGGCCCGGAAACGGGGAGGGCGGGCCACCCACACACCUGGCUCGUUAAGACUGUCCUCUUCAUCUGACAUCAGUUCCUCUGUCACAUCAUUCCACAGACGUUGGUCCUCAGGUCCAAAAUGCCUCAUGAUACUGGAUCGGUUGGCAAAAAGCUAAGGCAGGAACCCAGGAGAUAGAUUAGGAAGGUAAACAUUCUAUGGAUUAGAUUUGGGGAAAAGGUUUGGUGGGGAAGGCUGUGUAAAAUCUGUGCCUAAGUGAACCCAGUCCCCAAGUCAGAUCUUAGCAUUGGCUCACUGUUCUUCUCUAUCUUCCUACAUUCCUGGCUCUCAACCCUAUUCUCAUAUGCCAUGUCCUCUGGCCCUUCCCACUUAGGAAAGGGUUUAGAGUUUAGUAUCUUGAAAGAAAGGCCUAGAAACCUACCCGAUAUCGGCGACUUCGAAGUUUCUUCUCCUCUUUUUCCUUCAGGCCUUUAAAGGGGUUCAGGGAGUUGCGGUACUCACGCCUCUUAGUAAGGAAGUAGGCCACACAGGCUCCUG
rnacentral:lncRNA from 1 species